AUCGACCAAAAGGGGGAACCAAGGGGAAAACCCUAAGUUCUACAAAUUUGCAAGAUUGAAAGGGAAAUCAAGGUCAAAUAACCUGCAUGAACUCGAUUCUCAAGUAAUCUAAGCUUGUUUUACAAAGAGGCGUCAAGGAAGAAGGAUCAAAUCAAGUGAAGCAUCAAGGUGAUCACGACCGAGGUAAAUCCCAUGUCUAGUUAUCUAGCUUGCCCGGAAUCGAACACACCUCAUGCC